CCGAUAAAUAAAUAACUUCACUAAAACAAUAUUUCUUCUUAGCUUUAGUAGUAUUAUUCUGUAGAGGUUUUACUUAAUAAUUCUAACUAAUGAUGACCCUCUUAGAACUGGACUUUUGAUUUAUUAGAUCAGACAAUGAUGAAUUUCUCCUUUUGUGCUAAUCUAAAUAGUCCUCUCAAUUUUCUCUUAGGAGGUGUCCAUUUUCUUAGCUUACUUGGAUGACUUUAUUAGAUGAUACCCUACAAAAACAAGAAAAAAGUCAGAGGGCCAGCUUUACUAGCGUAAACACUUUGAUGGUAAAGUUUCGACGGUAAAGUCAUUCCUUAGAUUUUUGGAAAUAUGAAAUUUUAAAUUUAGUAAUAAUUAUUUACAUUUAU
rnacentral:lncRNA from 1 species